rnacentral:lncRNA from 2 species
AUGGCCAACCUCAUUGGCUACUGCUGCGACGGCGACAAGCGGCUUCUCGUCGCCGAGUUCAUGCCCAACGACACCCUCACCAGGCACCUCUUCCACUGAGUUUCCUCCCUCCCUCCAGUCCCCUAUGUUGUUUUCAGGGUGAUAAAUACAAUGAAGAAGAACCUAAUGCAUUUGAUUUGUUCAAGGAGUUCCACUACAGCAAGAAAAAAAAAGCUACACCAGUGCUGUACAUGAGGCUAUUGUAAGAUAACUUUCAAACUCUGCUGGGAGCCGUGGAGGAGCUUGCGGCGCUCGACAGCGACAACCACUGUGCAGAGCUUGCUGGCGGCGUUGGAUCGACCUUGCCUCCAGUCGUUUGCUGUCAUGCCAGUCCUGGAAGGCCAUGCCGUUGUGCCGCAUGUGCAUCGCCUCCGCACCUGGCUGUCCGCCGCCAGCGGCUGCGGCCUCCUUAGGGAUGCUACCGUCGGGUGUUUUGUCCACCUGCGCGUUGCCAUGCGGCAGAUGAAUGGGCUGGAGCAGCAAUACGCACGAACAUAA